rnacentral:tRNA from 1 species
GACCGCGUAGCUCAGUUGGCAGAGCAAUUGAGCUAGUAUUCCAAAGGUCGUAGGUUCGAUUCCCACCGUGGUCA